rnacentral:piRNA from 1 species
UAACAUCUCGGUAUCUACGUUCA